CCUACGGGAGGCAGCAGUAGGGAAUCUUCCACAAUGGGCGCAAGCCUGAUGGAGCAACACCGCGUGAGUGAAGAAGGGUUUCGGCUCGUAAAGCUCUGUUGUUGGAGAAGAACGUUCGUGUGAGUAACUGUUCUCGCAGUGACGGUAUCCAUCCAGAAAGUCACGGCUAACUACGUGCCAGCAGCCGCGGCAAUACGUAGGUGGCAAGCGUUAUCCGGAUUUAUUGGGCGUAAAGCGAGCGCAGGCGGUUGCUUAGGUCUGAUGUGAAAGCCUUCGGCUUAACCGGUGAAGUGCAUCGGAAACCGGGAGACUUGAGUGCAGGAGAGGACAGUGGAACUCCAGGUGUAGAGGUGAAAUCCGUAGAUAUCUGGAGGAACAUCAGUGGCGAAGGCGACUGACUGGAACGUAACUGACGCUGAGGAGCGAAAGCGUGGGUAGCAAACAGGAUUAGAUACCCCAGUAGUC
rnacentral:rRNA from 1 species